GGGCCCGCACAAGCGGAGGAACAUGUGGUUUAAUUCGAUGAUACGCGAGGAACCUUACCCGGGCUUGAAAUGCAGAGGAAUAUAGUGGAAACAUUAUCGCCAGCAAUGGUCUCUGUGUAGGUGCUGCAUGGUUGUCGUCAGCUCGUGCCGUGAGGUGUCGGCUUAAGUGCCAUAACGAGCGCAACCCUUAUCAUUAGUUACUAACAGGUUAAGCUGAGGACUCUAAUGAGACUGCCACCGUAAGGUGCGAGGAAGGUGGGGAUGACGUCAAAUCAGCACGGCCCUUACGUCCGGGGCGACACACGUGUUACAAUGGGGGGUACAGAGGGUUGCUACUUGGUGACAAGAUGCUAAUCUCAUAAAACCUCUCUCAGUUCGGAUCGAAGUCUGCAACUCGACUUCGUGAAGCUGGAUUCGCUAGUAAUCGCGCAUCAGCCAUGGCGCGGUGAAUACGUUCCCGGGCCUU
rnacentral:rRNA from 1 species